GCCAGCAGCCGCNGGUAAUACAGAGGGUGCAAGCGUUAUUCGGAAUUACUGGGCGUAAAGCGCGCGUAGGCGGAUAAUUAAGUCAGUUGUGAAAGCCCUUGGGCUCAACCUAGGAACUGCAUCUGAUACUGAUUGUCUAGAGUUUAAGAGAGGGAAGUGGAAUUCCAGGUGUAGCAGUGAAAUGCGUAGAUAUCUGGAGGAACAUCAGUGGCGAAGGCGACUUCCUGGCUUAAAACUGACGCUGAGGUGCGAAAGCGUGGGUAGCGAACGGGAUUAGAUACCCCGGUAGUCCACGCCGUAAACGAUGUCAACUAGUUGUUGGUCUUAUUAANAAGAUUAGUAACGAAGCUAACGCGAUAAGUUGACCGCCUGGGGAGUACGGUCGCAAGAUUAAAACUCAAAGGAAUUGAC
rnacentral:rRNA from 1 species